GCGGGUAUGGUUCAAUGGCAGAACAUUUGCUUCCCAAGCAAAGGACCCGAGUCCGAUUCUCGGUACCCGCA
rnacentral:tRNA from 2 species